rnacentral:piRNA from 1 species
UGGAGUGCUAGGAUUACAGUUCGCACCUGA